AGAGUGAACGCUGGCGGUAGGCCUAACACAUGCAAGUCGAACGGCAGCACGGUAAGAGCUUGCUCUUAUGGGUGGCGAGUGGCGGACGGGUGAGGAAUACAUCGGAAUCUACCUUUUGGUGGGGGAUAACGUAGGGAAACUUACGCUAAUACCGCAUACGCCCUUCGGGGGAAAGCCGGGGACCAGCAAUGGCCUGGCGCUGAUAGAUGAGCCGAUGUCGGAUUAGCUAGUUGGUGAGGUAAUGGCUCACCAAGGCGACGAUCCGUAGCUGGUCUGAGAGGAUGAUCAGCCACACUGGAACUGAGACACGGUCCAGACUCCU
rnacentral:rRNA from 1 species